rnacentral:rRNA from 1 species
GAUGAACGCUGGCGGCGUGCCUAAUACAUGCAAGUCGAGCGAACAGACGAGGAGCUUGCUCCUCUGACGUUAGCGGCGGACGGGUGAGUAACACGUGGAUAACCUACCUAUAAGACUGGGAUAACUUCGGGAAACCGGAGCUAAUACCGGAUAAUAUAUUGAACCGCAUGGUUCAAUAGUGAAAGACGGUUUUGCUUUCACUUAUAGAUGGAUCCGCGCCACAUUAGCUAGUUGGUAAGGUAACGGCUUACCAAGGCAACGAUGCGUAGCCGACCUGAGAGGGUGAUCGGCCACACUGGAACUGAGACACGGUCCAGACUCCUACGGGAGGCAGCAGUAGGGAAUCUUCCGCAAUGGGCGAAAGCCUGACGGAGCAACGCCGCGUGAGUGAUGAAGGUCUUCGGAUCGUAAAACUCUGUUAUUAGGGAAGAACAAAUGUGUAAGUAACUAUGCACGUCUUGACGGUACCUAAUCAGAAAGCCACGGCUAACUACGUG